rnacentral:rRNA from 1 species
AGGUAGCUUAACCUUCGGGAGGGCGCUUACCACUUUGUGAUUCAUGACUGGGGUGAAGUCGUAACAAGGUAACCGUAGGGGAACCUGCGGUUGGAUCACCUCCUUACCAAGAAGAU